UUACUCAUUGUCCUUUUGGUAUAUGAGAAGCCAAAGACUCUUCGAGAGGUAACUCUACUAGCAAUGUGCCAGCUCAACAAUUACGACAUCAUCCGAUAAUAACAACAGUUGAAAUACCUUUAAAUAACAACUCCACAAAGAACAACACGUGGCUAGAAUUAUUGAACACAAUCAAAGCCCAAACUUUAAUUCGAAAUCCAGUUAUUGCGCCACAAGUAGUACAAAAAUGAGCACAAAAAUGAUAGCAUUAAGUCAAUCAACAAUGUUUUGAAUAGAUGGCAAAUCAUGAAGUCAAACUAAAGACGACGAAAACCAUAUAUCAUACAAUCAACACAUAAAUUUAUCCUAAUGUAACAGUACAACCAAUCAUAGUCUUUUAAUGAAACAACAAUCCUAUGGUCUCUAGGACCUCUACAGCGAUGAAUGGCAUACAAUAUUUUUGGAAUAACACUUACGACUACAGAAUGAAGAGAUGAAGCAGAAUACAAUAGAAACUAAGUGAAAAUAGAAUGUUACCUAUUUAGGACCAGCAAAACGAAACUUCGAGCUCCUUUGAACUUCACCACCACUGAGAAAAUCAGUAUCGAUGCGAAAGCCUUGACUAGAUGACUACCUUUCUUAGAUCUUUGCCGAACAAAAACUACUAUUUUUCGGAAAACCAAAUAGCUCUUUCCCAAAACCCUUUCAUCUUGACCCAAAUGAAAUUUUCUCCCACCUAACUUCCUUGGAAAAUUUCGAACGCCCCUCUUUCUGCCUCUCAAUUUUCCAACCUUUGAUUUUCAUAAAUUUUUCAAUCUUCCUACUUUUCGAGCCUAACCUCUAAAAGAAGAGAAAGACCUCCUCAGAAUUUCCAACCCACGAUUUUUGAAUCCUAGUUCUAGAAAAAGACCUCCCCCAAGCCAGAGCCUCAAAAAUCCACCCCUAAAGUUGUGACCUAAUCCGUUCUUAUAUAGAAGACAGAAAUUAGGAGGUAUCUUAGGGAUUUUUCAGAGGGAAUUCGAAAUUCAAAACCCCUAGGAUCCCUGGAUCGUAACAAAUUUGAAUUUUCUUCCACAAAUCCGAAACCAGUGGACCAAUCAAAUGCUGGGAAGACAAAAAUAUACCCAAGAACCAAUGAAAAUUUACCAAAUAUGUGCGAAUCCAUACGAUUUAUCCCAAAAUUUAUGGAAUUGAACCGUUGGAGAUGACACCUAGGCUAUUUUUCUAGAAGUUUCGAGGUUCUUCCUUGUUGUACUAUUGCGUAAGGCAUGUGAAGAAGGCUACAAAUGGGUUGUUUAUGGGUUUCUGGUUGUGCGAAUUGGGUUAUGUCUUUUCUGAUAUUGGUUGAGUGCUAGGUCGAUUUUGGGGGAGCUGGGUUCGACUGUUCGCGAUUUGGAAGCCAGAAGCGUGUUUGUUGUUGUUUACUAGGUUAAGAGAAGAGAUUAAGAGGAUUGGGCUGGGUUAUGAUGUUUGGAAGGUGGGCUGGAGCGUUCUUGUAUAUUGUUAUUAACUUGGGCAGAAAUUGUUGGGGUGAGAUAUUGGGUUAAUUAAGCUAAAGGGAGAAAUUGGGCUAAGCGUGUUUAGGAAGUGGGGCGGGGUAAGAUGUGUUGAAAAAAAAAAGAACAAGGGCUGGUGACUUAGUAUUGGGCUUGGGUAGGUUAGAAUAAAUUAGUACUGGAAUUAUUACUUUACAAAAUAGCCAACCUGACAUGAGAUUUGACCCAUUUCAUCCAAUCUUGGCCAAUUGAGAAUUAGUUAGUCAAUUGCCUUGCAAUUGUGGCCUAAUUAAUUUCAAUUAUGGCCCAAUUCAAUAAAUUGGCUAAAUUAAAACAAGAUCCCAUGCGAAUUAUCAACCGUUUAAUCCCGAACUUCUUGAUUUAAUAGAAUUAAACAAGUAUUUAUCUAAAUAAAUUAUUUUCAGAGUAGAUCAUAUUUAAAUCAAGAUCUUAAUCAUUUAAAUUUAGUUUCAAAAGUAAUCCCUAAUUAAAAUUUGAUUUUGAUAAAAAUAUUUAUUUAAAUGACAUCAUUUAUACAAUCUCGUAUAUGUAAAUACAAAAAUAUAUAAUUAUCACUUAAAUAACAAAUUUAGCCUUAAUACAUAUUUUAAAAUGCAUUUAUUUGGAAAAAAUAAUUGUUGCAAUUUUAUUUGAAAAUUGAAGAAACUCAAGAUUAAACGUAGUUGUGGAAGGCAAAAAUUAGGUGUCAACAACUUCCCCCUCCCUUUGGGUAGGAUGGAUGCAAGUAAUCCUGAGAAAAGGGAGGUUGACGUUCCUAAUUUUUGUCCAACUAUAAAUUCGAAUCUGGAAGAGGUCGGCUUUCACAUGAGUUUCAUGGAGUUAUGGCCGAACCUCGACAUCAAGUUUCCUACAUAUCUCAGGUUUCAUGAGAAUUCAGGCCACUUGUAGUUCAUAAAUCUUGAUUUAAAGCACGAUUUUCAAAAAAUUCACAAGUUAUCUCUGUUUUAGAGUGUUUGAUAAAAUCGAGAAACUGAGGAAUAAAGGGAUUGGGGGGAGGUUGGAAUGCAGUCGAGUUUUCUACAUAGAUCCCAGCCUACAUAUCCCCAAGAUUUCAGGGAAUCAGACUACUUGUAGUUCGACUCAAUCGGUAGAAGAGAUAGUCUUUCACUUCAGACCAUCUUUGGCUCGGAAUGAGUGACAAGUUGAUCGAGUUGUAGAAAAGAGGCUUGUAACCUCUUGACCAUGAAUGUGGGAUCCUUCACAUCCAUAGUCAAGAACUUACCUGGUCAUAAUUUCCAAAAUUCUAAGUGUGUUGCCACCCAAAUUUGAAAAAAAAAAAAGGUUACCCUCGACAUGAGUUUAAAAAUAUCCCGAAGUUGAAGCUGAAACUAGAAUAUCCUGAAAUACCCACAAGCCUUCUAAUAGGGGUGUGGUUGGAUGGAGGUGGUGAUCAUUCUAUUACUCGCGUCCAAAGAGUUUGACGUCCCUCUUUAGACUAUGUCCCGCUUUGCUGCUGAGAAAGAGUUCCACGUCGUGUUGCAUCCUUUUUGGAGUCGUCCGCACCUGUGGUUUUGAUUUGAGAUUUUCAUCCUUUCGGAUGCUCUCAACAAUUUCUCAAGCAAAAAGUAUUAGUACUAAAAUAAUUCACGAAAGAUGUAGGUAGUCUUUUACUAUAUCUCCGCGUGAGUUGUGCCCUGAAAAGUGGAGUCAUCUCUUCAUGGUACCUGUUUGGAAUUAAAUAACUGGAAACAACAAACACAACAACCCUCUUGUUGUUGUAUAAUUAUGACAUUUAUCGGUUUAAUACGUCUUCAAAGUAGGGUGGUCUUUUUGGACACCAGCGAUACUUUAUGCAGAACGGUCUCUACAACCGUGAAAUCUUGUGCUGGUGUGGCAACCCUUUUGGUUACCUAUAUCAUUUGUUGUAUGUGGAAUGAUGAAAUCUCCGAUUAUAGCCAAUGAUUGAUUUACAAAUUUUCCUUAAAUUGACAAUCUUUGGAAAAUCUUGUGCAUUAUUUGAUAUUGGAUGCGAGGCGACUUACAGAUAUCCUUUGAAUUUUUAGCUUUUAGAUAAUCCUGCACAUCAUCUGACUUUGGAUAAGAGAUGACUUACAAAUAUCCCUCCAAUUGCUAGCUUUCAGGUAUUCCUGCACAUCAUCCGACCUUGGAUACAAUAUGACUUAUAGAUACUCCCUCAAAUUGAUCGUCUUUGGGUAAUCCUGCACAUAAUCGAUCUUGGAUAUGACGCGGCUUAUAGAGAACCCUUGGACGUAUCAGUUUGACAAUCUUGCAUAUCCUCCGGUAAGGAUUUAGUUGCGACUUACGGAUAACCUUUGAACUAUCAAAUUUUGGGCGAUCUUGCACACUAUCCGGUUCGGAUGUUAUUGUGGCUUAUGGAUGACCUACAGGCUAUCAACUCACAGGUGAUCUUGCAAACUAUCCUAUUUCAAAUAAUAUGACUUAUAGAUGACCUUUAAAUUGCCAAUUGCUAGGAAAUCUUAUAUAUCAUUCAUCCUUAGAUGGCGACCUGAAUGUGUCCCUCUAAAUCGUGCGCUCUUAAUGUAUUCAGAUGUUGAUUCAUGAAAAUAUGAUGAUAUCCUCAAAGCUAAUAUUAUGUAUUGCGUGUCAACAGAUAUAUUGAAUGUUGAUGAUAUCCUCGACGCCAAUGUGUUGAUAGAUAUAUUGAAUGCCGAUGAUAUCCUCAACGCCAGCGUUGUGUCUAGAGCGUCAACAGAUAUUGAAUCCUAGUGAUAUACUCGAUUCCAGCAUUGUGUCUAGCUUGUCGACAGAUAUAUUGGAUACUGAUGAUAUCCUCUAUGCCAAUGUUGUGUCUAGCGUGUCGACAGAUAUAUUGGAUGCUAAUGAUAUCCUCUACGCCAGCGUUGUGUCUAGCAUGUUGACAGAUAUAUUGGAUGCUGAUGAUAUCCUCGACGCUAGUGUUGUGUCUAGCAUGUCAACAGAUAUUGAAUUAUGAUGAUAUCCUCGAUGCCAGCAUUGUGUCUAGCACGUCAACAAAUAUGAAAUAUUGAUGAUAUCCUCGAUGCCAGCAUUGUGUCUAGUGCGUCAACAGAUAUGUAAUAGCCUUUGCAGUAAUGAUAUGUGAUGGCCUUUGUGGCAAUGAUAUGUAAUGGUCAUUGUGGUAGUGAUAAAAUAAUUUUAUCUGGCUUCAUUUGUCAGUGUCCCUCUUUCUACAUGUACCUGUACUCAAGGUAGACGAUUAGUAGACACAAAGUCGCUUUUACUAGCGACUAUUUUUAGGAAACUUCUAAAUACGAUACGUGUAAAGAAGACAAAGCGUUUUUGUUUGUCGCUUACGAUCUCAAGAAGUGAGAUGGACAAAUCAAAAGGUCCUUAAUAAAUGGGCAUUAAACCUAUUUUUAGGUCUGCCCUAAAAUACCAUUCUUGGGUAUUAAUGAUCUGUUGUGGCUCCCAAUUUGCUCGGGGAUUUUUGAAAGAGACUCUCAUUUUGUGUAUUGAUCCCUGCAUCCACAGAAAAAUGAUUAGUUGAAUGAAAUUACUCCAUGUUGACCUUCUUCGAUCCUUGAUUUUCUCCUUGCCAUCUCUUGGGCAUUCCACCAUAUUAAGACUUCCACCCUGACACUCUAUCCCAAAUGAUGUCUAGGCUAGUACUAAGUAAGUGAGUCGUAAGAUUUUUGAAAAUAGUCUUAAAUUUUUGAAAAUAAUUUUGAAAACUUCUGUAAAAUUUUAGAAAAUUUCUGCCAGUCAUGUCAUGUACUAGCUUAAUGAACGUCUUCCUCGUGGUUCUGACUAUAUCCGAUGGAUGGUUUCCAAAACUCAUGAUUAUUGUUGGAGGGUUUCUUCAAGUAGUUCUAUCAUAGCCAAAAAUUGAGUCUACCCAGACUUUGUUANNNNNNNNNNNNNNNNNNNNNNNNNNNNNNNNNNNNNNNNNNNNNNNNNNNNNNNNNNNNNNNNNNNNNNNNNNNNNNNNNNNNNNNNNNNNNNNNNNNNNNNNNNNNNNNNNNNNNNNNNNNNNNNNNNNNNNNNNNNNNNNNNNNNNNNNNNNNNNNNNNNNNNNNNNNNNNNNNNNNNNNNNNNNNNNNNNNNNNNUCCAUUUACUAGGGUUAUAUGACCGAGCCGUUGGGGUGCCUACGUAUCCCGUUGAAGUAGGGAUCAGGUCAAAUGUAGUUCAGGCUAUGCUAGGGAUAUACAAAAGAAAUUAAUGGGUUGACCAAAGCCGACACAGGCCGCCUACGUAUCCCUUUUAUUGGGAAUUCAGGUCAUUACGUAGUUCAUACAUAGGGGGGAAAGGAUAAAUUUUCCUAAAGGGUUGACCAAAGCCGACAUAGGCCGUCUAUGUAUCCCUUUCUUAGGAAUUCAGGUCAAACGUAGUUCGUGCAUAAAGGGAAAGGAUUCUAGGUAGUUACACACUAGCAAACAACAUUAUUACAAAGGUGAUUACAAACAAACUAAGAAAACACAAAAACUAGAACGUCAUUCAAACAUAAUAUCGCUUUACUGCAUCAGAAUUGAUUGGUUUGGUCCACUCUGUUCCAUCCAUCUCCAACAAAUUCAGAGCUCCUCCAGUAGCACCUUGCGAACUAUGUAUGGCCCUUGCUAGUUUGGAGCGAACUUGCCCUUGUACUCCUCUUGGUAAGGGAAUAUUCGUUUGAGAACCAGUUGCCCCACUUCAAAUUCUUGAGUUCUUACUUUCUUAUUAAAGGCACGAACCAUCCUGUGUUGAUACAACUGACCAUGGCAUACAACGGCCAUUCUCUUUUCAUCAAUUAACAUGAAUUAUUCAUAGCGGGCACGGACCCAUUCUUAGUUACUCAGUCCAGCUUCCUGAAUAAUCCUUAGGGAAGGUAUUUCAACCUCAGCGGGUAUCACAGCUUUAUUCCUAUAAACUAGUAAAUAGGGAGUUGCUCCUGUGGAGGUUCGAACUGUUGUUUGAUACCCUAGCAAGGCGUAAGGUAACAUCUCGUGCCAUGAUCUAUCAUUUUCGACCAUUUUUCUCAAGAUCUUCUUGAUAUUCUUGUUAGCAGCUUCUAUGGCUCCAUUUAUUUGGAGACGGUAUGCUGUCGAGUUGCAAUACACAAUCUUAAACUGAUCACAAAUUUCUUUCAUCAAGUGACUGUUCAGGUUUUUCCCAUUAUCAGUAAUAAUCGAUUUUGGCACUCCGAAUCAGAAAAUCAAGUUAUUCCUGACAAAAUCUGCAACCACUUUCUUAGUGACAGCUCUGUAUGAAGCAGCUUCGACCCACUUAGUGAAAUAAUCAAUGGCAACCAAAAUAAAUCUAUGCCCAUUCGAUGCUAGUGGCUCUAUUGGUCUGAUGACAUCCAUGCCCCAAGCUACGAAAGCCUAAGAGAAUUCAUUGCGUGAAGCUUGUGUGGAGGCAUUCAAAUCAGAUCUCUGUGUAUUUGACAUUUUGGACAUCUCUGCACAAACUUACUACAAUCAUUUUCCAUAGUCAUCCAGAAGUAAUCGGUUCUCAGGAUCUUUCUGGCAAGGACAAACCCAUUAAUAUGGGGCCCACAAACUCCAGAGUGUACCUCGUUUAUCAACUUAUUGGCUUCCGCCGCAUCGAUGCAUCUUAGGAAUCCCAAAUCAGGAGUCCUCCUAAAAAGAAUUUCUCCACUUGGAAAGUAAUUCUUUGCCAAAUGCCGGAUUGUAUUCUUUUGGUUGUUACUAGCCUCUUCAGGAUAUAUUCUAGAUUCCAAAUACCUCUUAAUGCCAUAGUACCAAGGCCUUCCAUCAGGCUCUUCUUCCACGUGUAUGCAAUGUGCGGGUUGCUCCUUUAGGCUUAUUUCCAAAGGAUUGAAGUAACUCUGAUCCGGGUGCUGAAUCAUGGAAGAUAUCAUGGCCAAAGUGUCAGUAAACUCAUUUUGUGUUCGUGGGAUAUGUCUGAAAUCAACAUUCUUGAAUCUUCCACAUAAUUCUUGCACAAACUCCACAUAAGGAGUAAUCUUGGAGUUUUUUACCUCCCAUUCUCUCCGUACCUGGUGAAUCAGCAAAUCUAAAUCUCCGAUGGCUAGCAAUUCACGAACACCCAUGUCAAGUGCCAAUUUAAGCCCCAGGAUACAAGAUUUAUAUUUAGCCAUGUUGUUGGUGCAUGGAAAACGUAACUUAGUAGUUACCGGAUAAUGUUGGCCUGUUUUUGACACCAAAACUGCUCCAAUUCCUGAACCUUUGAAGUUGACCGCCCCAUCAAAAAAUAGCCUCCAUCCGGGGUAGAUUUUCGUGAUAUUUUCUCCUACGAACAAAACUUUCUCGUCUGGAAAGUAUGUCCGAAGUAGCUCGUAUUCCUCAUCAACUGGGUUUUCAGCCAAAUAAUCUGCUAAAGCUUGCCCCUUGAUUGCUUUUUGGGUUACAUACACAAUGUCAAACUCACUCAGCAACAUUUGCCACUUGGCUAGCUUUCCUGUAGGCAUGGCCUUCUAGAAUAUAUACUUCAAUGGAUCCAUUCUCAAGAUGAGGUAAGUUGUGUAGGACGAUAGACAAUGCCUCAACUUUUGUGCCAUCCAAGUCAAAGCACAACAUGUCCUUUCUACAAGAGUGUAACAGGCUUCAUAUGGUGUGAACAUUUUACUCAAGUAGUAAAUGGCUUUCUCUUUCCUGCCGGUCUCAUCAUGUUGCUCGAGGACGCAUCCGAAAGCAUUUCUGAGACUGACAGAUAAAGCAAUAAUGGAAUUCCUUCUCUUGGUAGGACCAAAACUGGUGGUGCAGACAAGUAUUCCUUGAUGCGAUCAAAGGCUCUCUGAUAUUCUUCUAUCCACUCAUUCAGUGCAUUUUUCUUCAACAUCUUGAGAAUUGGCUCGUAUAUGACUGUUGAUUGAGCGAUGAAUCUGCUAAUGUAAUUCAGACGACCCAGGAAACUAAUAACUUCUUUCUUGGUCCUUGGCAAGUCUUGAAUUGUCUUGAUUUUGGGUGGGUCUAGCUCGAUCCCCCUUCUGCUGACUAUGAACCCCAACAACUUCCCUGAUGGCACACCAAAAGUACACUUAGCAGGAUUUAACUUCAAACUGUACUUUUUUAAUCUGUUAAAGAAUUUCUCCAGAUGAGUUAGAUGAUCUGAACUCUCACGGAUUUGAUAAUUACAUCAUCCACGUACACCUCAAUCUCCUUAUGGACCAUAUCAUGGAAAAUCAUCGCCAUGGCCCUCAUGUAUGUCGCACCUAUGUUCUUGAGACCAAACGGAAUUACCCUGUAAUGAUAAAUACCCCAGGGCAUAAUAAAAGUCAUUUUUUCUGCAUCUUCCUCAUCCAUCAGUAUCUGAUGACAGCCGACAAAAUAAUCAACGAAUGACUGCAUUUCAUGUUUUGCACAGUUAUCGAUGAGAAUGUGGAUGUUGGGCAAUGGAAAAUUAUCUUUAGGACUAGCUCUGUUCAAGUCUCUAUUGUCAACACAAAUUCAAAUCUUGCCAUCCUUCUUUGGCACAGGGACAAUAUUGGCCAACCAUGUCGGAUAUUUUGUGAUCUCGACAACCUUAGAUUGGAUUUGUUUUGUCACUUCUUCCUUGAUCUUUAGACUUAAAUCUGGCUUGAAUUUUCUUAUUUUUUGCUUGACUGGAUCAAACUCAGAAUUUAUCGACAAUUUAUAUGACACAAUGCUGGUGCUCAACCCUAGCAUAUCAUCAUAGGACCAACCAAACACGUUGAUAUACUCUUGCAACAGGUGGAUGAGCUCUUUCCUUUGUGGCGCCAUGAGGUGGACACUGAUACUGGUCUCUUUGAUUUCAUUGUGAUCUCCCAAGUUGACUAUUUUAGUUUCUUCCAGAUUGGGUUUUUCGCAAUUCUCAAAUUCCUCCGUAUCUUCAAGUAACCGUUCCUCAUCAUCGUCCUUCCAACCAUCAUCAUCCCCUUCAUUUUGUUCGUUCAGGCUUUGACAUGAUACAAUAUUGGUAGGUUUUAAGCUAUUGUUACUAUAAUGGACAAACAAACUAAGUUAGAUGAUGAGAAAAUAACAAAGCAUAUGACUAGGAGCGUUUUAGAACUAAUAUAGUUUUCCAAAUAAAUGAAGGUCUUUUCAUUGAAAUUUGAGAAAUAAUUACAAAACCAUGGCUUGUAACUUGCACAAAUAUAAGCCCCCACCUUUUUUGAAAGCAGUAAGAUACGAAAAUAAAGUUUUGAGAUAUAAAAAGUGUAUCGUGGGGCCUCCUUCGGAUUAUCACUAAUUUCAAAACUAUUAGUAAUUGCCCUUUCAUCUACCACUAUGGGCGACGGGUUAUGAGUGGAGUGGAGGUCUAAUUUUACAAAGCCUCCCCUGGUGCAAUCUGCUUCACCCCACUGGACUCUGGGAGAUCUUCUGAUACAGCAUUGCAUCCUUCAAACAAAUCUCCUAUCCCAUCUCCAAGAACAUCAUCAUCUGACAUCUCUCGUAUGGGAAAUGACUGGAACAGGAGUGGCAAGGGCCUAAAUAGACUUUUUUCUGGCUCAUCCUCAACCCUAUCGUUUUUGGUAGGCUGAUACCCUAACCCGUGCUUAGAGAUUUUCUCUGGGAUCACAAUAGGCUCGAUAAUUCCUUAUAAAUUCUUGCCCAAGCCUCGACUAGGUUCGAACCUAUUUCUUAACAUCACAGUUGCAAUCAUUUUGUAGACAGAAGGCAUUGAUAUUUUGGGUGUUGAAUCUCUUUCUGCAGUAUUUACAAUUUCCACUGUAUAGAAACUGCUACCUUUUGGAACAUCUUCAAUCACCGGCACAUAACCAUUGGGAUGGUCCGCUCGACUUCCUUCUCCUUGGAUGAAUACUUCAUGAUCUUUCCAAAUGAACUUCAAUAAUUUAUGAAGGGGUGAUGAAAUUAUCUUUUCCCCGUGUAUCCAUGGUCUUCCCAAAAUCAGGUUGUAGCUAGGAUGGAUAUCCAUAACAUAAAACUUAGUCUUAAACUCAGCAGGCCCCAUUUGGAUGUGCAAAUCAAUCUCUCCUAUGGUAUCUCUCUGCCCUCCAUUGAAUGCUCUCACAUUUAUGUGGCUUUGAUGAAUUUUCCCCAGAUAAUAGCCCAUUUGGACCAAUGUGGAGAGGGGAUAAAUAUUCACACCAGAUUUGUCGUCUACUAAUACCUGAUUAAUUGCAUAAUCUCGACAAGUGACGGUGACAUGCAUGGAUUUAUUGUGCAUUGCUCCUUCAAACAGCAACUCUUCAUCACUGAAUAAUAUGCGAUGGUUCCCCACAAUGUUCCCUAUCAUCGCAGCCAAAUUCUCAACGCUCGUUCCUGCAGGAACAUAUGCUUCCUCCAAGACCUUUGACAGAGCCUGUCGGUGGUGUUGCGAGCUCAAUAAUAGUGCCAAGAUAGAGAUUUGGUCUGGCGUUUUCUCCAAGUAUUUGACAAUUGAUUAAUCCUUUGGUUGCAUACGCCUCCAAAACUCCUUAGCCUCUCCUUCAGUGAUUGGCCUUUUCUGUGAAUCAUUCUUGUUGGUCAAUUCCUCAGGGAUAUAACAUCGUCCUGAUCGUGUCAUCCCCUGGACAGCGGCGCUUUGCAUAAUAAAUUCCUUCUUUGGAGGGGGAGCGUACACUUGAGUCGGUGCAGUCAUCACUAUAAAUGGGGCUUUCUCACUGAUACUUCAGGUAGCCAUAACUUUCUCUAUCUUUCCUACCUCUUUCGCCCUUUUGUGCUUUUCGAAGUUCACCUAGGUAAUGGUCUUGCCAAAUGCACAUUCGUCUUCUAUUUUAAUCAUGUUAACUGUAGGUCCUCCAUGGUUGGGCAGUGGAUUACUGCUAAUAUUUGAAGUAGGUGCCUGGAGCGUGAUGACCUUUUGAUCAAUCAGAUCUUGGAUGUUAUGUUUCAAGAUAAGACAGUCCUCGGUACUAUGCCCUGCUGCCCCUGAAUGAUAGGCACAAUUUUGAUCAGGGUGAUAAAACUGGGAGCUAGGAUUGACAGGCUUUGGUUGUACUGGUUGCAAAUGACCAGUAUUCUUCAAUCUUUCAAAUAAUUGGGUGCAACUUUCAGCUAGUGGGGUGAAGUUUUGGGGAGGUUUCUUUUCAUGGUUUGGACGCUGGGGGUUAUACGGGCUUAGGUUUGUAGGAGGGGGUACUUGGUGGUAAUUUGGAGGUGUUUGGAAAUUUGUUCGGCCAUUUAGGGGAGUAGUUUUGAAAUGAGACUAAUAAUUUGGAGGUGGAACUGGAUAUUGGGGAAAGAUAUUUGGCUGUGGAGCUUGGUAUGAUGGCGGGAUGUUUGGGAGUGGAGUUUGGGGUGGACGUAGAAUGCGUGCGGAAGGUUAGGUUAUAGCGAGGAAUAUAAAACGUUUCUAGAGUUGAACCGCUAUUUCAAUUUUGUAACAGAAUUGGCAGAAACCCCACCUACCUCUUCCUUCUUCUUCUUAGAAAACAUGGCAGUUCCAGAUGAUGUCGGGCUUUUGGCAAUUUUUUCUAUCCGAAUACCUUCUUCCAAUGAUUCUCCUAUUUUUACCAAAUUCGCAAAGGUUGCUCUGAUAGCGGACACCAUCUUGGUAUAAUAUUCUCCUUCUUGAGCGCGAGAGAACACGGACACCAUUUUCUCCUCGGACAUGGGGGGUUGCACUUUGGCAGCUUCUUUCCUCCAACGAAAAGCAUAGUCACAAAAACUCUCAACGCUUUUUUGUUUGAUCCGAUCUAGUGAAUACCAGUCAGGGACUAUUUUGAUGUUGAAUGCGAACCGGUCAAGGAAACCCUUGGCCAAUGUUUUCCAACCAGUCAACUUUUUUGGCUCCUGAUACAUGAACCACUCCAAGGCUUCACCAUUCAAACUUCGACUGAAUAGGCGCAUCAAUAGUGCCUUAUUUUUCCCUAUCCCUACCAGUUGCUCAUAGUACCUUCUUAGAUGGGCCAUUGGAUUUCCGAUAUCGUCAAACAUAUCAAACUUAGGGACUUUGUAUCCUUCUGGUAGAUCUACUCCCGGGUGAACACAUAAAUCGUCAUACCCCAAACCGUCGUGGUCCUUGUCUCCAUGAGACUUUUUGAUCCUCAUGAUCUCCUCCUUCAUAGCUAGUAAAUUCCUUCCAUGCUGGGACUUCCACUCUUUCUCCUUCUCCUCAUAAUGGUCCAUCUCGGGAUUAGGAAGGGGUUCAUAGGUGUCAGGGGAUAUAAUAGACUGAAGGGGAUUUGGAAGGGAGGCUUGAUUUUAUGGAUGAAAGGAAUUUGGUUGGUAAGUGGGAAGGACGUUUUGGAAAUUGGGAAGGUUCUGCAGACUUUGAGAGUAGUUUGGCAGAAUUUGAGAAGGAUUUUGCAGAUUUGGACAUGAAUUUGGUGGAUUCAAAGGUAGGUUUGACGUAUUUUGUGGAUUUGGGAGUGAAUCUUGCAGAUUUGGAAAUGUGAUUUGAGGAUUUAAAAAUGUGUUUUGAGGAUUUGGGAAUGGAUUCGAAGGUGGGUUCUGUGGGGUUACGGAUGGAUUUUGUGGAUGGUAGACGUUUAGAUUAUUUUCAUGAUUAGUAUUUUGGACAAAUGAAGGAGCGGAGCCGGAUGAUACAUUAAUCGACUGAUCCCUGAGAAUAAGUGUGCUGAGGGGAGGAAUUUGGAGUAGAUUCCUACGUCCUCCAGGAGCGGGAGCAUUGACAGUGAUGUCCAAGUUAGCCGAAUCCCGAGUGCAAUUUAUUUCUUCCUGAAGCAUUUUUAACUUUCUUGCAAGUUCCACAAUCAUCUCAUUCUGUUCCGUUAUCACAUUAUCCCGGAUAGUCAGUGCGCUUUCUUCAUCAUUUCCUGUUAUUUUUUAAUGAUGGUCAGAGGAUGGGAUUUUGUGCGCUUUUAAUCGGUUGAAGUGGGGAUGUUUUGCCAGCUUAUAUCAACAUGGAGUAAUUUCUGUUAUCUGUAAAGUAAAACAACUCAAAGGCAGAUGUGUUAGUUUCCGUAUGUGAUAAGUAAUGCAAAAUAUUUGACAGAAAAUAACCAUAUAGAAUCAUUUGAGUCCUAGACAAAUUCAUCCAUAGGAGUAUAGCGGAUAAACUUGCCUUUGAUCCAAAAAACACCACAAGCACACAAAACACUAUAAUAAUGCGUAUCCUAAUUGGGGUGACCCUUUUUAAGCCAAGGGUUCAGGUCUAACGAUUUUUGAAGAACGUAUAUGCUUCCCAAAAGUCAAUCCAUUAUACCCCAACUUAUAUAGAUACGAAACAGGCAUAAAUACGUACAAACGAUAACAAAAGAGAGAUACAAUCUUUGGGGAAAAAGGGAAAUAACAUGAAAAAGAAUAAGUUCUCACGCAGGGGAGAAUAGAAAAACUAGCUACUGGAGGCUCCUUCGUCUGCCUUUGCCUUAUUAGCUUUGUCCACUUAUCAUAUUGGUGACAUCCGUCGGCGCUCAAAUUGUGCCUUAUAUGCAACCUCCCAAAUCGAUUAAUUUCUUGCUUAACUUGCUUCAAUUCUUCUUACGAAAGUACGCAAAUCAAGCUUUUUCCCGACCCCCAAAGGAUAAUGGAUUGAAUUAGACAGGCAUACAUUUUCUUCAACACAUAAAUAUGGUUCGUAUAUAAUUGACUCGGGGUCAAUAGACGUAGGGCAGGUAUUCUAAUGGGCCCAAUACCCCGUUUGGGUAUUGGGUCGUCCUAGGCUCAUGCCUAAAAUAGGGUUUUGGUUUCGUUCUAUCCUAGGUGUCUAGAGUGGGUUUGAACAUUGGUUCUCAAGCGGACAACUUGAGUUUGAAAACACGAAUAGCAUCAGAUGACUCACGUGCUGAUAAGCUAUUCAUAUUUCCAACACAUUUUGGAAUUGAACAACAGGGGCCGGGACAUCCACGAAACCCCAAAAUAGUUUAUAAGAUGCAGGAAUAUGCCAUGAGAUGCGAUAAUUAAACUUUACAUAAUUGGAACACAUAAAUAGAUAAUCAAAAGACAAAAUCAAUCAUUUGGUUAGAACCUAGUUAUCCCCAGGAGAGUCGCCAUUUCUGUUUUGCGGAAAUUUUGACUUUUGAAGAGAGUCGCCGCUUAAUUUUGAAAAGGAAUUAAGAAACCUUUAUAAAAGUUACUUCAAAAGAUUCAAAAUAGGAAAAUCAUUUUAAGUUAGAGAUUCUAGAUAAGCGGUUCCUAUUAACAUUUUAGGAAGGUGUUAGGCACCUAAAACGUUUACUAACUUGCGGUUAUCCGGACUGUUUGAAAAUCGUCUUUUGAUUAACUUUGAAAAGAUUAAUUUGUUGAAAUAGUGAUUUGAUUUAUUUAUUUUUCAAAAAAAAGACGUGUAAAAUAGAUUUAGGCGACUUAGUAGGGAUUUUAACUAAGUCUAAGCAAAACUAAUAAACAAAUAAACACAUAAAAGGGGAAGGGAGAAGAAAGUAAAGGAUUUAGGCCAUUCGGCCCAAAUCAACAAAACCUGUCCUAGUCUAAUUGGGAUUUCAACCCAUUUCACCUGUCCUAAUCUAGUUUUCAAGCCUUUGGCACGAAUCUUGCUCCACCUGUAUUAAAUACAACUUUGGCUUUGUGGUCCAAAUGAAUGAUGAAUAAAUAAAUAAGAAAAAUAAAAUAAAGACAAUAAUACUUAAACAAAUUAAACAACAAACAAGACUUUGGAGUCUCUUAUCCGCUUCAAAUGUGGGUCUUUAACUCGCCUUUCUUCUUCUAAUUCCUCGUAUUUACGCCAUGGGAUCACUUUUGGAUUUAAACAUUGAGGAUAUGUACCUCAUUGGCUCACUUAAGAAUGCGAUGGGAGGGAGUCCAUUGCGGACUCCAAAAUAGAUUCACAUGUAAAGAAAGAAAGACAAGAAUUAGAAUCAUUCUAAACAACGUAAUUCGAAAAGUUUAAAAAUGAGUAAAUACGCAUAUAGAGUGGGCUAGGAUCUGUACGACAAGGUAAAAAAAAUGCAUGGAAUUGAUGUGGAACUCGGUUAUAUCACAUAUGAAUAAGCAUUGGACUAAUCUUAUUUUGCUAUUUUGGUAAAUCUGCAGGCUGAACUAUGUCUUAAAAAAAGAAUGACUUGGUCGCAAACAGUGUCUUAUCGAAGAACCCACAUUAACACAGAUUGGUCAUGACUAUUCUUUUAUGAAACAAAACUACAAGUUGUUAAAAAAAAUGAAAUUGAGAAGAGGAAGCAAGACUUUAGCAGAAACUGAAUAAGAAGCAAAUUUUCUAAAGCACCCAAAUUCUUAUCAAUAUGCACGCUAAUCGUUACUUAUUGGAAUCAUUUUAACAGUAGUCAUAACGUGAUUUCCAACAUGUGAUGCAAAGAAUUGAACUUUGAAAUGAUCCACAGAAAUGGAAAGAGGGACAUACAAAAGCAAAAUAGUACCCAGCUAUUAAUUUGUUUUAAAAGCCACUGGAAAAUAAUAGUAAAAAAAAUUCAUAACCAUAGAUAGACUAUUUUAAGGAAAUUCAAAGGACUUCAUCCCCUCAUUGAAUCCUUACUCUUAACAUUGUAGCUCGAUAAAGAUUCUCGGGGAAUCCUUAACCUGAGUAUAGACCAUAGACAGUGCUACGACAAUAAAAUUAAGUUAACUUCUCUGAACAAACAUACUCAAAUGUCCAGUAUCCUAGAACACGACUAUAUAUAUCCUUCUAAUGUGUUUUCAUACUGAAGAUGAUCCUAAAGAAAGAGUGGAAAUCUAAUUUUGGGUUUUGAGACCAAAUGAAAGUCACAAUAAUAUGACCUACUAUCCUCAUCCUCACUCUCUCUUCGACAGACCCAAAAGAUAAGCUUUUGAUAGCCGAGAUGAUCACUGAGGAAUCACAGGAUUUUCUGUUCUUUAGCAGACUUAUCCUCAUUGUUCUUCGUCCUUUGAGAAGCCAAAGAACUCAAGAGGAAGUCCUACUAACGAUAUUAUGGAUGAACAGUUAUGAUAACGAUAAAUAGUAACAACGAGCAUAACGAUAGAUUGUUUCAACCCUCCUCCUCGUUCCAGCAGACUCAAACAAAAUAGUCGUCAAGGAAUCUUUGGGCUUCCUAGCAUAUUUUGGACCUUACUCAUUGUCCUUUUGGUAUAUGAGAAGCCAAAGGCUCUUCGAGAGGUAACUCUACUAGCAACGUGCCAGCUCGAUAAUUAUGACAUCAUCCGGUAAUAACAACAGUUGAAAUACCUUUAAAUAACAACUACACACAGAACAACACAUGGCUAGAAUUAUUGAACACAAUCAAAGCCCAAACUUUAAUUCGAAAUCCAGUUAUUGCGCCACAAGUAGUACAAAAAUGAGCACAAAAAUGAUAGCAUUAAGUCAAUCAACAAUGUUUUGAAUAGAUGGCAAAUCAUGAAGUCAAACUAAAGACGACGAAAACCAUAUAUCAUACAAUCAACACAU
rnacentral:lncRNA from 1 species